AUAAUGUAAAUAAAUUUGAGUGUAGUAAUAUUUACCACAACGAUUACUCCAACCUCCCAAGAAGUGGCAUAAGCGAUUGCAUUCAAGUUUCUGGGUGGUGGUGUUGAAUGAACAGAAGCGUGUAUCUCCACAACGUGUUUGACACAUAUGAAGAAACCAUGUAAUCUCAAAUCCAUAUACUAACGCCUUAUGAAUGACAUCAUAGGAAGAAAUUUCUUGAUUUCUUUCAAAAAUUUUCGACCAAGAUGUUGGAGUAACCAAUUUUACAUGACAACCAACUUGAAAAUCUUAUGAAUGAACCAAUCACCAGCCAUAGCAUAAAUAUAAUACCCUUUUGAGUUUGGAUUAAUGCACGGAACAGUAUCAACAUAUUUAUGAUUGUUAAUAACUUGAUGGCUACAAUUCAAGUAUACUAUAUGCUCAAAAAGUAUGGUUCGGGGAUAUUGUACUGCUUGAUAUGGAUCCGUGCAAUAUUCGUCCACAUAAUUGUAUCUAACAAAGAAAUUGGAUUGAGAUAGGGAAUUGAGUGGAAGUGAAGAACAAUUAUCUUGUUGAAUUCCAGAAU
rnacentral:lncRNA from 1 species